UAGGGAAUAUUGGACAAUGGGCGAAAGCCUGAUCCAGCCACGCCGCGUGAGUGAUGAAGGCCCUCGGGUCGUAAAGCUCUGUGGGGAGGGACGAAAGAAGCGGUGUAACGGCCGCAUAGUUGACGGUACCUCCUUAGCAAGCACCGGCUAACUCUGUGCCAGCAGCCGCGGUAAUACAGAGGGUGCAAACGUUGCUCGGAAUCACUGGGCGUAAAGCGCGUGUAGGCGGACCUGCAAGUCGGGUGUGAAAUCCCUGGGCUCAACCUAGGAACUGCACCCGAAACUGCAGGUCUAGAGUGUCGGAGAGGGAAGUGGAAUUCCUGGUGUAGAGGUGAAAUUCGUAGAUAUCAGGAGGAACACCGGUGGCGAAGGCGACUUCCUGGACGACUACUGACGCUGAGACGCGAAAGCGUGGGGAGCAAACAGGAUUAGAUACCCCCGUAGUCC
rnacentral:rRNA from 1 species